GCGGCCUCGGGGCACGGCGGGCCCAGGCCGGAGGAGCUUUCGGUGGCGCGACCCCGCUGGCAUGCUCCCGGCCUCGGCCUCGGCCUCGGCCUUGGCCUCCGGGCCUCCAGCGCACGCGGGGCGUCCAGGGCCUCAUCUUCCCCUGGGGACCGCCCGGCCGUGUCCCGCUGCCCUCGGCGCAGGGGUGGGAGUUGCAGAGAGGAAGAGUCGCUAACCCGGAGUGUUUCUUAAAACUUGGCUGACCUGUGACCUGCGGAUUUGGAGGCUGAAUUCUCCGAGCACCUGAAGCUACUGCAGGAUAUAAUCUAAGAAAAUAAGGGGAAGAAAACAAGAAAGAGGAAGACAUUGGAUCCAAGAAAUGGGGGAUCUAUCACCUUACAGAUGAAAAGAGAAUCUACAUGAUCUUUGUGAAGAUAUGACCUUGGGACUUGCUUUAGCCAGUGGAAUGGAAGCAGAAGUAACCUGUAAUUUCCAGCAUCAAAACUCCUAUCCAUCCACAGUAUGUGAGUGGGAGUGGAAGGCGACAAUAAGCCACACAGAGGGGCCUUGUGUAACUGCUUGGUGCUCAGAGGAUCUGGACAGAAGCAUCUGGGCAGCCUGCCACAGGAAACUUCACAGCAAUGUCAAUAGUCCUGACGAAAACGAACCUUGACUGCUGGGCAAACUGAGAGGGUGGAAGGACAGAAAUGAGCAUCACUUGAAAUCUACUGAUGCCGGAAAAGAUAUUGUAAAGCAAAAUUUAAAAUCAAAAAGUAGUUAAUAAAUUUUGGCCCCUUCUACUGUAUGGGUCUGAAAGACAGCCAUCACUGGUGGUUUGAUACCUGGGGAAGGGGUGAGGGCAGCUUUGAGUGGAGAUGAUCAAGGCAGGUCUGGAGCCCACACUUGGGAGAUGCUUGCAUCUGCAAAAUGAAGAAAGAACUGCAGUCUCAGAGAAAGUGGGCUCUGCUCUCCUCCCCUAAGGAACCAGAGCAGCAGAUGGGUCUCAAGCAGCACUGGACCAGUUUGGCACCUGGUGGGCCAGUUUUCUGCAGCUAAACAAGGACCGGAACAAACAAACAGGGCAUCAGAUGUGGCCCAGAUGCCAGUUCUGUCACUGGGUGUGAAAGCCCAGUGAACGUCACAUUUUGAACUGCAAAAGCUCUGGGACUGCAUAGGUCCCUGGAACAGGAGGAUCCUUAAGAAGAUAUAAAGAGAUACAUGCUUGAAUGAUUAAUAAGGAAAAGAGACUAUUUGUGACAUCAGAUUAAAGCAGUUCAAGCCAGCUCUAUAUCUAUAAAUAUAUAUAAAAUCAAUAUUAACACAUUCAAUUUUUUUUGUAGCUAGUUGGGUGAUAAGGCAACUCAGGAUGGCAUCUGAAUCAGCAUGGUCAAAGAAUUUGGUGUGGUGGGGUAUCUAUGCCUUGAGGGUCUACCAUGUGUCAGAUGGUAGACCCUCAAGACAUGUAGUUAUACAGGCCAGAUGACAUUAAAGUGCUUGACACAUACUUUUUAGCUCCCAGAUUUUGUUGACCUCCUGGUUUUUGUUGCCCUCUGCAAACAAGUGGAUAAAAACAAUUUUGGGACAGAUGACAUUAAGUGCUUGACACAUACUUUUUAGCUCGCAGUUUUUGUUGACCUCCUGGUUUUUGUUGCCCUCUGCAAACAAGUGCAUAAAUACAU
rnacentral:lncRNA from 1 species